rnacentral:rRNA from 1 species
GGGUCCGGACACACUGAGGAUUGACAGGCGCUUGUAGUUAUGAGAUUAUUAAUUUAUUAAUAAUUAAAUUUCUGCUAUAAAUAUGCUAGUCCUUUCAUGAUUGUGUGAUAGGUGGUGCAUAGCCGUUCUUAGUUCGUGGAGUGAUCUGUCUGCUUAAUUGCGUUUCACUGUGGACAUUGUUAUAAUAGUGUGUGCACGCAUAACUUCGGUUAUGUUGUUGCCUACUGUUCCAAAUGUCCUGAAGGCAACGAACGUGACCGCAACCUCUUGUUGCCUCUUCCAAAUACUUAUUUUAUUAUCUUUUUUGAUAAUUGAGAUCGGUUUAUAGAGGCUAACUAGAGGGACCGCUGACAACUUUUAAAACAGAGGAAGGUUGCGGCAAUAACAGGUCUGUGACGCCCUUAGAUGUUCCGGGCUGCACACGUGCUACAAUGAUUAUUGCACUGAGCAUCUAAUUUUAUUAAAAGUUCGUUUGGUUUAAUUUGAUCUUAACAGAUUAAAUAAAACUAACGACAUUUCCUACUUCGAAAGUAAGUAGGU